rnacentral:rRNA from 1 species
GAUGAACGCUGGCGGCGUGCCUAAUACAUGCAAGUCGAGCGAACAGACGAGGAGCUUGCUCCUCUGACGUUAGCGGCGGACGGGUGAGUAACACGUGGAUAACCUACCUAUAAGACUGGGAUAACUUCGGGAAACCGGAGCUAAUACCGGAUAAUAUAUUGAACCGCAUGGUUCAAUAGUGAAAGACGGUUUUGCUGUCUCUUAUAGAUGGAUCCGCGCUGCAUUAGCUAGUUGGUAAGGUAACGGCUUACCAAGGCAACGAUGCGUAGCCGACCUGAGAGGGUGAUCGGCCACACUGGAACUGAGACACGGUCCAGACUCCUACGGGAGGCAGCAGUAGGGAAUCUUCCGCAAUGGGCGAAAGCCUGACGGAGCAACGCCGCGUGAGUGAUGAAGGUCUUCGGAUCGUAAAACUCUGUUAUUAGGGAAGAACAGAUGUGUAAGUAACUGUGCACGUCUUGACGGUACCUAAUCAGAAAGCCACGGCUAACUACGUG